rnacentral:rRNA from 1 species
UACAGAGGUCUCAAGCGUUGUUCGGAUUCAUUGGGCGUAAAGGGUGCGUAGGCGGCGCGGUAAGUCGGGUGUGAAAUCUCGGAGCUUAACUCCGAAACUGCAUUCGAUACUGCCGUGCUUGAGGACUGGAGAGGAGACUGGAAUUUACGGUGUAGCGGUGAAAUGCGUAGAUAUUGGGAAGAACACCGGUGGCGAAGGCGGCUAUCUGGACCGUAACUGACGCUGAGGCGCGAAAGCGUGGGGAGCAAACAGG